rnacentral:ncRNA from 2 species
UUGAAACCUGGCGAUGAAGUUCGCCUUAAAUGUCCCCACGGAAGGGAAUGAUAACUUCUACUGGUUA